GAUGAACGCUGGCGGCGUGCCUAAUACAUGCAAGUCGAGCGAACGGACGAGAAGCUUGCUUCUCUGAUGUUAGCGGCGGACGGGUGAGUAACACGUGGAUAACCUACCUAUAAGACUGGGAUAACUUCGGGAAACCGUAGCUAAUACCGGAUAAUAUUUUGAACCGCAUGGUUCAAAAGUGAAAGACGGUCUUGCUGUCACUUAUAGAUGGAUCCGCGCUGCAUUAGCUAGUUGGUAAGGUAACGGCUUACCAAGGCAACGAUGCAUAGCCGACCUGAGAGGGUGUUCGGCCACACUGGAACUGAGACACGGUCCAGACUCCUACGGGAGGCAGCAGUAGGGAAUCUUCCGCAGUGGGCGAAAGCCUGACAGAGCAACGCCGAGUGAGUGAUGAAGGUCUUCGGAUCGUAAAACUCUGUUAUUAGGGAAGAACAUAUGUGUAAGUAACUGUGCACAGCUUGACGGUACCUAAUCAGAAAGCCACGGCUAACUACGUG
rnacentral:rRNA from 1 species